UUAGAUCAGAUCUUUGUGGCAGGCCUUAGUGACCUGUGAGAUCUGCUUUUGCCAGAGAAGAGGCUGGAUUAACCUUGCUCUGCGUCCUGGAUACUUUGUUGAUAGACUUUUAUCUAACCUGUGUUGCCACGUUGUACAUCAUUGUUUCUGGGAGGUGGAGCUGGAGUUAGGACACACUUCUUUUGAGACUGGAAUCCACAUCUUGAAGACUGUGCUUGAGAAAAUUUGAGACUUUACUAACUCUACAAGUAGAUUCUUGAGGCAGUUGUUUCUUUGCAGUUAUUAAUUCAAGUCCCAAAGAAUAAUGACAGGAAAUGUAUUUCUGACUACUCAGAAGUGACUCAUUACGGGACUAUUUGAAACUAUGUAUUUUUUUUUUUAUCAGAAAGUACAACUCUCUAUGGUCAAUGUUAUCUCUUCAAAUCCAAGUGAUCUUAAAAUCCGGCUACCUACUUCCCUUCAAAACAACAGAUCUCAAAGCUGAGGAGGAGAAAACCCACUAUUCUUUGCAAGGCUGACAGCUUCUCUUGCUCCCAUUGCAUAUCGAUCAUGACAUCCUCCUCUGCAAAACAAGAUAGACAAGAUGGACAUUUCCAUCCCAUCGCCAAUGACUGCCACUCCUUGGGAGAUACCAGGAUUAGCAGAGGGUGUAUAAUCAGCAGACCCUGGCACAGUUUCAUGGUCUAUAGUAAAACAGGAAGACUGGGGAGAGCUGCUGAAAGCCUUUCUUGGAGGGCUUUUGUGAAGAGAAAAGCCUUUGAGUGUUUCCUCCCUAACAAAGGAUGACUAGGGGCUCCUCGGUCAUUUCCCACGGCUGGUCUAGACUAAAAGCAAGAGAGGAAGAUCUCGUUUCCGGGGGACAUGAGAUGGAAGGAGCCUUUGAAACCGGUUCCUGCGUGAAAAACUACAGGAGUGUCAGCCUGAGCAGGCAGGGUGAAGCCGGGGACGGUGAGCUAUAACAGUCUCCACAGGAAAGGAGAAGUUCAGCUUUGGCCCUGCCUCAGUCUCAGGAAUCUUGGUGAUUGGCCUGACCGAGAAUUCCAGAAGUGGACAUCCCCUGGAUUUGUGUUCUGAAGUCAGAUUUCACCGCUGUGGUUUAUGUGCCCGACCCCCUGAAGUUCCUGCUCCCGUUGUGGCAGGGAGCCUGGAUAGUCCUGGCCUCUGAUGCCGGUGCCCUGUGGCCACACAAACACUCCGAGGCUCCUUCUGGAGCCACAGCUUCUGGGAAAGACAUUUCGGAAGUUUCCUGUGGCUGUGACAAAUUGCUCAGGUCUGCACCACAGCAAGGCUGUGACCUGCCUUUCUCCACCUUGGCAAGCUAGCUUCUGAAGCUGGCAAAGGUCCCAUGUCCCUGCAGGCUCUGCUUCAUGGGAGUCAAAGGGGAGGACCAAUCAAGUGUCCCUGUCUGUGGAGACAUGGUAUGAUGGAGAAUGAGGUAGACAGUGAUCAAGUUUGGGACCCGAGAAAGUCUGUGGCUUCAGGCAGAUGGAGAGGCUGGGGACAUGCAGAAAACAGUUUCUUGUGGAAGAUUUUAUCAAUGGAAAGGUCACUUGAUUCCUGCCUUUUCUAACCACUGAUGUGUGACUAUGUCAAGGUGGUGGCAUGUCCUGGAAGGCAGCGUUCUGGACCCUGAAGCACGAUGAUAUUAGUUUCCGGAGGACCAGAGACCCCAAGCCCACUCCCGGGCACAGAGAGGUUGACUGGCAUGAGUUUCCCUGCCUUCCCCUUCUCUAGGGUUCUACCCUUCCCUGUCUGGAUUUUUAAAAAAUACAUUUCUGAAUUUAAUAGUCCCUUCUUGGUAACUGGAAGGAAGACAAACCUUGACUAUCUGGCAUCUUAAGGUUGAAGUCUCAGUUUUCUAAUAUCUAACUACUCGUCGAAACCAAGUUAUUUCCACGAAUGAAGUCUUUGGGGGACUUGCUUCAACCAACAGGCCAGAGGAUAAUUAGCACAUUAGUUAUUUGAUAGCAAAUUGAUUCUCUUAGGACAUAAAUAUAAUUAAAAGCAGUUUGUUCUAGUGUCUGCUGUUUAACCGUUGCCCACUGCAUUCUGGGGUUUUCACUUAGCUUGCCAAAUAAACUCAGACUUUGUGAGUUCACAAGCUAACCUCUGGCCGGUCCCACUUACUCUAAAUAUAUUCUGGUAAAAUGGGUUCAGCAACUCAAGGCAUUUUCUGUUCGUUUGAUUGUUUUGUUUUGUUGUUGUUGUUAUUUUUUUUCCCCUUAAAGGGAUCAAGAACUCUUACCACUGUUGUGGAAAGCCACCUGUGAACUUCCUCUAAUAUGAACUUGGGCACACAGGGACCUCCUUGAAUGUCACACUUACCUUGUUCUGGGACCAUAAAGAGAUGUAUUUUUGUUUCCCAUCCUAAACAUUGUGUAACUCACUCCUCAUUUUCCCACGGAGAUUAUGGUAAUAUGGGGGAGUGCUGUCGGUCUCUGGGAUAAAGCACCUUGUAAAACAACCAUGGGGGAUUCCAAAUCUGCCUUAAUCAACCUUUCUCCAGAUCUGCAGACCAAUAAAAUUGCUUGCAUUCUUACCACA